CCUACGGGUGGCAGCAGUGAGGAAUAUUGGUCAAUGGACGAGAGUCUGAACCAGCCAAGUAGCGUGAAGGAUGACUGCCCUAUGGGUUGUAAACUUCUUUUAUAUGGGAAUAAAACGUUCCACGUGUGGGAUUUUGUAUGUACCAUAUGAAUAAGGAUCGGCUAACUCCGUGCCAGCAGCCGCGGUAAUAUGGAGGAUCCGAGCGUUAUCCGGAUUUAUUGGGUUUAAAGGGAGCGUAGGUGGAUUGUUAAGUCAGUUGUGAAAGUUUGCGGCUCAACCGUAAAAUUGCAGUUGAAACUGGCAGUCUUGAGUACAGUAGAGGUGGGCGGAAUUCGUGGUGUAGCGGUGAAAUGCUUAGAUAUCACGAAGAACUCCGAUUGCGAAGGCAGUUCACUGGACUGCAACUGACACUGAGGCUCGAAAGUGUGGGUAUCAAACAGGAUUAGAUACCCCUGUAGUC
rnacentral:rRNA from 1 species